ACAUUCCACCCGUUGCUGCCAGCGUUCAGUUUUCACAGGGGCACUGCGCAGAACAAACUGCUUCUGUCCCUGCUUUCCUUUCACUGUGGGGCUGCCGCAGCGCAUCCAUUCGUCCCCUCUAGUUGUCGGCUACGUAAGGACACCAGCUACUCCUGUAGCGGGUGGGUUUGCCUAUUCGGAUUUGCCACGAAUCCGUACAAAGCAAAUGCCUUUAUAAAUGCAGCAGAAGUCCAAAAUAUAGAAUGGGGGAACCAUACACGGGAGAAAUGAGAUCACGCUAAUGCAAGACUGUAGAGGUCAAUGAAAGAAAUCAUCGUUACUUAUCAAAAUCAAACAGGAGCGGCAACCUGAGAUUUCUGCCUCUUACGUGUCUUCUGUGAGGAAGCACGCUGUGUAUUUUGUUUCUAUAAAGAGAUCCGGAGAGGACUGUUCUAAAAGCUGGAUACAGUAAGCUGCUGAAAGGGCCCAGAUGUUUGUUUAGGCUUCUCUGGUCUCCCGGGAGCUGGCUCUGAUUUCAACUGGAGAGCAUACAGUGUCCUUGGCUACUGGCCUCUGUUUGCCUCACAUGGAGAGAAGCCUGGAUCAAGGGCCACUUGAUGACCGUCCCUAUGGCUGAAGCAUGGGGGGAGUGCCCAAAUGCCUCUGUCUGGGUCUGACAUUCAGGUCUAUAAUAUCAGCGUCUGAACGGAGACCCAGCAACAGUGAAUGAGAAUGAUGCUUGGGCCAGCCGGGCAUCCCAUUGAGAGAUACCUUAACUUGAAGGAAGCAACUCCCCUCAAACCAGUGCCAUUGGCAGCAAAAAGUAGACUGCACUGAAGGACUAGAAGAAAAUCUUAGAGUGGGCUAUGGUGGAACAGCACCCAGGAGGUUAAGGAGGCAGGAUUGCCACAACCCCAAGGACAGCCUGAGCUACAGAGCAAAGAAAGAAAAACAAGUCAAUAGAAACCAGACGCUGGAAAAGACAUGGAGAAUUUGGAUUUCAGACGUACUGUUGGUGGACAUGUCAAGUAGUCUCAGCCAUUCCAGAGGUUCCUCGAGAAAUUCAAAGGAGAAUUGCCACAUAAUUAAGCCAUUCCAUUUCUGGGCAUAUAGCCAAAAAAAUCUCCGAGAUAUUUGUGUACCCA